rnacentral:rRNA from 1 species
ACACUCCUGCGGGAGGCAGCAGUGGGGAAUUUUGGACAAUGGGCGAAAGCCUGAUCCAGCAAUGCCGCGUGAGUGAAGAAGGCCUUCGGGUUGUAAAGCUCUUUUGUCAGGGAAGAAACGGUGAAAGCUAAUAUCUUUUGCUAAUGACGGUACCUGAAGAAUAAGCACCGGCUAACUACGUGCCAGCAGCCGCGGUAAUACGUAGGGUGCAAGCGUUAAUCGGAAUUACUGGGCGUAAAGCGUGCGCAGGCGGUUUUGUAAGUCUGAUGUGAAAUCCCCGGGCUCAACCUGGGAAUUGCAUCGGAGACUGCAAGGCUAGAAUCUGGCAGAGGGGGGUAGAAUUCCACGUGUAGCAGUGAAAUGCGUAGAUAUGUGGAGGAACACCGAUGGCGAAGGCAGCCCCCUGGGUCAAGAUUGACGCUCAUGCACGAAAGCGUGGGGAGCAAACAGGAUUAGAUACCCGAGUAGUCCCA